GGUCGCGAGAGGCGUUGGGAUCGCGGGCGCUGCCUGAGCCAGCGGCUGCUGGGAGGCAGUGUCCGCACGCCUACAAGGGGAGGCGGCCGGGCCCUGCGCCUCAAGUCCUGGCCUGGGGCACCGGGGCGGCAGGUGUGGGAGGCUGUGCGGGCGGCGGGUUGGCGGUUUGUCCAAUUGGGGCCUGCGCGGACCGCCCGCGGCGCAGCCUCCUGCCUCUCUCCAUCUCUAAGUGGUAGUGGCUGUAGGUUUUUCUGCAGGUGAUCCUUUUGAGUAAUUUGUUUCAGGCAGGCGCCCUGCUGUUGGGUAAAGCGGCAGAUUCAUGCUGCUGUCACUUGCCGUUCAAACGAUGGGCUUCGUGGCCGGGCGCGGUGGCUCAAGCCUGUAAUCCCAGCACUUUGGGAGGCCGAGACGGGCGGAUCACGAGAUCAGGAGAUCGAGAUCAUCCUGGCUAACAAGGCCUGAGACCUGGGAGGAAGCUGGAGAAAAGAUGCCCUCUGAAUCUUUGUGUUUGGCUGCCCAGGCUCGCCUCGACACCGAAUGGUUGAAAACAGAUAUACAGUCUCGCCCUGUCGCCAAGGCUGGAGUACAGUGGCAUGAUCUCGGCUCACUGCAACCUCCGCCUCAGCUUCUCCUGCCUCAGCUUCCCGAGUAGCCGGUAUUACAGGCGCCUGCCACCACACCUGGCUAAUUUUUGUAUUUUUAGUAGAGACGGGGUUUCACCAUGUUGGCCAGGCUGGUCUUGAACUCCUGACCUUGUGAUCCGCCCGCCUCAGCCUUCCAAAGCGCUGGGAUUACAGAUGAUAGUGUCGAGCAAAGUGGAACAAAGAAAGAAGAUCUGGAUGACAGAGAGAAAAAAGAUGAAGAAACUCCUGCACCUGUAUAUAGUGCCAAGUCAAUUCUGGACAGCUGGGUAUGGGGCAAGCAACCAGAUGUGAAUGAACUGAAGGAGUGUCUUUCUGUGCUGGUUAAAGAGCAGCAGGCCCUGGCCAUCCAGUCAGCCACCACCGCUCUCUCAACCCUGUGACUCAAGCAGAGGCUGGUAAUCUUGGAGCACUGUUUCAUUGCCUUGAACCAUUUUUCAGGAGAAUGUCAAAGUUAAGUGGAAAAGCAGCAUCAUUUCCCUGCCUCCUGUGGACAAAAAAAGGUAAUAUAAAGCGAAGAAAGAAUCCUAAUGGGCCGGGCGCAGUGGCUCACGCCUGUAAUCCCAGCACUUUGGGAGGCCAAGGCUGGUGGAUCACGAGGUCAGGAGAUCGAGACUAUCCUGGCUAACACGGUGAAACCCUGUCUCUACUAAAAAUACAAAAAAAAUUAGCCAGGCAUGGUGGUGGGUGCCUGUAGUCCCAGCUACUUGGGAGGCUGAGGCAGGAGAAUGGCGUGAACCCGGGAGGGAGAGCUUGCAGUGAGCUGAGAUCCGUGUUACUGCACUCCAGCCUGGGCGGCAGAGUGAGACUCCGUCUCAAAAAAAAAAAAAGAAUCGUAAUGCCAGUUAAAUAUAAAAUUCAGACUGUUUUGUUUCAGAAAGUUUAAUUAAGAUUUUCAGUAUAGUGUCUGUCUUCACCUUCUGAAAUUUAUUCUUGCUUUCCCUUUUUGUAUGUUUUAUGUAAUCUGGAGAAUGGAUUUGCCAAUUUGCUCAUGUAGUAACAGACCAUACUAUGUAAUCUCUGUCAUUAUUUAUUUUAUUCAAUUAAAUUUUUUUGUUUCUUUUUUUUUCCUUUCUUUUUUUUUUUCGAGAGGCAACGUCUUGCACUGUCACCCAGGCUGGGGUGCAGUGGUGUAAUCAUAGCUCAUUCUAACCUUGAAAUCCGGGUCUCUAGUGAUCCUCCUGCCUCAGCCACCUGAGUAGCCGGGACUACAGGCACAUGCAACCAUGCCUGGCUAAAUAAAAAUAAUUUGGGUGUGUGUGUGUGUGCAUGGGGAUGUGGUCUUGCUCCUGGCCUCAAGCAAUCUUCCUGCUUCAACCGCUCAGAGUACUGGGAUUAUAGACGUGAGACACUGCGCCUGGCUCUGUGUCAUUAUUUUAAAGACGUUUUUCUGUCAGUAACUGUGGAAGCCAGCCAAAGCUUUAGAUCAGCUCAAGUAUAAAUUGGAAAAUGAGUUCUGAACAUUGUGUACAUUUUAUUUUGUUUUGCUGCUGGGUAAGGAGAUAGAUUGUAAUGUUUAGUGCCCAUCUAGUUUAGAUGCUUCAUGUUUUUCCUUCCUAAUGUGAUUUUCUUAUUCUUUUAUUACAAGAGAUGCUUUUGGGCCGGGCACGGUGGCUCACGCCUGUAAUCCCAGCACUCUGGGAGGCCGAGGCGGGUGGAUCACCUGAGGUCAGGAGUUCGAGAUCUGACCAACAUGGAGAAACCCCGUCUCUACUAAAAAUAAAAAAAUUAGCCAGGGCGUGGUGGCUCAUGCCUGUAAUCCCAGCUACUCGGGAGGCUGAGGUAGGAGAAUUGCUUGAACUGGGGAGGUGGAGGUUGCGGUGAGUGGAGAUCGUGCCGUUGGACUCCAGCCUGGGCAACAAGAAUGAAGCCCUGUCUCAAAAAGAAAAAAAAAAAAAGUGGGGAUGCUUUUGGGCAUAUGAGUUUUAAUUUGUUGACGCCUGAUAAUAUAUUACAGAUUUCCUCUAUUUGCUAACAGGCACUAGAAUGUUUAAAGCUUAUGUAAAAUUGUACUUUUCCAAAAUGAAGCUGUCUAUCAGACUUUUGUCCUCAGAAGGUUAAACUACAAGAUUGCCAGAUGAAACUAUAUUUUGUGUAGUUAGGAGUGUUGGCUUUAUUUGACUGUGAUAGUGACUUUGACUCCCUGGAGAGCACAUAGAAGGUACAGGAGGCAGGAAGAAACAAGAGCAAAACCCUGAUCGUCUUGCUUCCCAGAGACAGGAGCAAUACUUGUAGCCUGUUUCCUUGUUUUCUUACGUUUUAAUUUUUGUGUUUGUUUUCCUUUUUUGUUUCCUUAUGUUUAAAUAUAGUUGAAAUCACAUUACAGUUGGCUCUCUGUCUGUAUCUGUGGGUUUCACAUCCACAGAUUCAACUAACUGUGGAUCGAAAAUAUUGGAAGAAAAGCCAUAAAAAACAACACAACAAUUAAAAAAUACAAACAACAAUACAAUAUAACAACUAAUUACAGAGCAUUUACCUUGUAGUAGGUGUUAAUCUAGAGAUGAUUUUGUUUGUUUGUUUGUUUGGACAUGGGGGUCUCACUGUUACCCAGGCCAGUGGGGCUAUCAUGGCUCCCUGCAGCCUUGACCUCCUGGGCUCAAGUGAUUCUCCCACCUCAGCCUCCCAAGUAGCUGGGACUGCAGGCGUGUGCCACAAUGCCUGGCUAAUUUUUGUAUUUUUUGUAGAGCCGGGGUCUCACUGUGUUGCCCAGGCUGGCCUCUAACUCCUGGCCUCAAGUGGUCUGCCUGCCUUGGCCUCCCAAAGUGCUGGGAUUACGAGCAUGAGCCACCACACCUGGCCAAUUUUUUUUUUCUUUAAUUUGUAUAGAUGGGGUAUUGCCAUGUUGCCCGGGCUGGUCUUGAACCCCUGGGCUCAAGUGACCCUCCUGCCUCGACAUCCCAAAGUGUUGGGAUUAUAGGUGUGAGCCACUGUGCCUGGCUGAGAUCAUUUAAAUUAUACAGGAGGAUGUGCACAGGUUAUAUGCAAAUACUACACCAUUUUAUAUCAGGGUCUUGAGCAUCCUAGGGUUUUGGUAUGGAGCCAGGGGUGGGGCAGGCCUGGUACCAAUCCCCUGCAGAUACCAAGGGAUGACUGUACGUUUUGUAUUUUUGAAAAUAGUUUUAGAGUAAAUUAAACCAAGAGACAGAUGAGAGUCCUACCCAUUUGGUAAUAGGAGUGCCAUCAGGAAGGUUCUUUCCUUCCUUCCUGACCGGCUGUGAUGGUCAUGAAUCAGAGUGUUAUGUACAGGUGGGCGGUAGGUGCUAAGAUUGUCCAAGCACUGUUGUGUGUUUGUCGAAUCAAACUGAAUUCCCUCAGCUGCAGAAAUGGCUGAGAGCCCAGCUGAUUUUUCUCUGUGCUGUUUCCUUUGUGAUGACAUAGGGUUGAUGGAUUAAUUGGAAUAUAGCUUUCAUUAAUUGGAAGAAUUCCUAAAAUUUAAAAAAAGCCUCUUUUUGAGAUAAUUGUGGAUUCACAUACAGUUGUAAGAAAUAGUAUAGAGAUUCUUUUACUGUUCGCCCCAUUGCCCUCAAUGGUAGCUAGUUGCAAACUAUGACACAGUCAUCAGAACUAGGGUGUUUACUUUGAUAGUCUGCCUAUCUUAUUCAGAUUUUCCCAGUUUUACAUGCUCUCAAUUGUAUGUGUAUUUCUUUGCAGUUUUUUCAUGUGUGGAUUUUCUGAGACCUCCACUGCAAUCAGGGUACAUAGACAAGGGCCCUUUAUACCCACAUUCACAUCUUCUCUCCCCACCCUACCUGCUGGCAACCACUCAUCUGUUCUCUGUGUCUAUUAUGUGAUUUUUUGACAUUGGCUUUUUAAUUUUUUAUUAUCGUUAUUACUGUAAUUUUUGGAGACAGAGUCUCACCCUGAUGCCCAAGCUGGAGUGCAGUGAUACAAUCAUAGCUCACUGCAGCCUCAGACUCCUGGGCUCAAGCAGUCCUCUCAUUUCAGCUUCCUGAGUAGCUGGUACCACAGAUGCAUGACACCACACCCAGCUCAUUUUGUAUUUGUAGAGACUGGGGUCUUGUUAUGUUUCCCAGGCUUGUCUUGAACUCCUGGCCUCAAGCAAGAUUGACUUUUUUCACUUAGCAUAAUCCCCUUGACAUUUUCCCAAGGAGGUCGUUGCAUGUAUCAUUAUUGCUGAGUAGUGAUUUUUUUUUUUUUUUUUUUUUUGGAGACAGUCUUGCUUUGUUGCCCAGGCCAGGCUGGAGUGCAGUGGUGCGAUCUUGGCUCACUGCAGCCUCCACCUCCCAGGUUCAAGCAAUUCUGCCACAGCCUCCCAAGUAGCUGGGACUACAGGCAUGCACCACCAUGCCUGGCUAAUUUUUGUAUUUUUAGUAGAGACGGGGUUUUGCCAUGCUGGCCAAGCUGGUCUCAAACUCCUGACCUGAAGUGACUCACCAACCUCCUCUGACCACACUUGGCCCAUGUGCUUUCUCUUGUAAGGACUGUGUGUCCUGUUACAUGUCUGUGUCUUCUCAUGUUCAUAUUUCUCAUUUAGGAUUCAGGAGCAAAGAUUUCCGUCUUCCAGGUACCCAGUGCCCUUCUCAGAGGUUCUCGUGUUUCCUCUCUGAGCUCCCGGUGCAUUAUUCAGGCACUUGUGGAUAAGCGUGUACCGUUGCCCUGGCCAGCCGUGUUCUUCUUUGCCAUUUUUAUUACACAUCGUAUCUUGGGGAGAUCCUUCCAUAACAUCCCUGUUUGUUGUUUUUUUGUUUUUUGAGAUGGAGUCUCGCUCUGCCUCCCAGGCUGGAGUGCAGUGGUGCAAUCUUGGCUCACUGCAGCCUCCGCCUCCCAGGUUCAAGUGAUUCGCCUGCCUCAGCCUCUGAGUAGCUGGGAUUACAGGCAUGCCACCACCACACCUGGCUACUUUUUAUAUUUUUAGUGGAGACAGGGUUUCGUCCUUUUGGCCAGGCUGGUCUUGAACUCCGUAUCACCUGUUUUUAUAGCGUAUCCCCUGAUCAUGAAAGCAAAUUUUAGUAAAUUUGGAGAAUAUAGUCUAUAGUAGCAAUACUGUAAUAUACAUAUAUUACAAAUAUGAUAUAGUAUAAAGUAUAAAACAAAAUUACUUUCUAUGCAUGAUUGAGUUGAGAUUAUGCCUUUUUGUAUUCUAGCCUUUUCUCUCUUGUACAGGAUGAUUUUUAUGGUGUACCAUUGCAUAACCUUUUACUACAUGCGGAAUGAAACUGUGACUUGUGAAAUUAACAUACACAAGUAGUGAAGAGCUUAAAAACACACAGGAGGGUGAUGAGCACCACCCUCAGAACAGGGCAACUCCCCACGGGCUGGGUCAAGCACACAGGGCUUCACCCAUGGCCAGGAGCAGACCCCGAGUGGAGGACGUCGGAGCUGGGGCGAGCCAGGCUACCCCGUGCGGCUCUGCUGCUCUUCUUCCAGCUCCUCUCUGGCCUGGUCUCCCAUGUGGGGUUUAUUCUCCCUCUGUUUAUGUAUUUAUCUGUUUAUCGUCUGCUUCCUCCCACUAGAAUCUCACUUUGGGAGGUCAUUUCAUGAGCAUUUUCCCAAGACAUUUAAAAUUCCUUAUACAUUUCUUUGAUUCUUAAAGAGAAAACUUUUCCUUUACAAAAGACAUUUGAUGAAAGUUGUUAAACAACAAAACGAAAAAUCCACUUGUGAUCCUGUCACUUGAAGAAAACCAUUGGUCGGAUUUUGGUACACACCCUUUCGUAGUAUUGAUUUUAUGUAGUAUCUGCACCCUCUGCUGCUAACUGGUUGUAUGUUCCGUGUGUGUCAUCUGCAGUUCCCGGCCUCUGAGGAAAGGUGUGGAGGGGCUCGCCAGAGUGGGAUCCCGAGCGGCGCUGUCUUUCGCCUUCGCCUUCCUGCGCAGGGCUUGGCGAUCGGGUACGGUCCCUGGUGUGGCACAUUGUUCUGCUUCCCUAACCCAUCAACAGACUGGGUUUCGAGCUCGGUUCAGCCACCAUGUGCCCUUCGGCUGAUCCCAUGUGCUCUCUGUGCCUCAGUUUCCUUGCUUGUGAGAUGAGAGGCUGCAGAGGCUGUUUGCCUUUUCACGUCUGUGCUUUAAAGAAAAAAAAAGAGAGUGCAUGCACCCUCACCCCCACGUCAAUCACUACCAUGGAACACCUGAGUACAGACUUAAUUCUAGAAGGACAAGAAGUUAGUGUAUUGCUCAUGUGACAGCCGUGAAACACAGAAUUGACUGGAACAGCUGCGCUAGAUUUUGGCCUGUUGAGUGAGGGAUUGGAAAGGUGACAGUGGCGUUGGCUCUCGCUGAGGGGUGGGAAGCCCAGCGGGAGAGUGAGGGGAGUGGGCGGGCUCCUCUGACGCGUGUGUGCACCCAGGCGAGGAUGCGGACCUCUGCAGUGAGCUGUUGCAGGAGUCCCUGGACGCCCUGCGAGCACUUCCCGAGGCCUCGCUCUUCGACGAGAGCACCAUGGCCUCUGUGUGGCUGGAGGUGGUGGAAAGAGCGACCAGGUUCCUCAGGUCCGUCGUGACGGGGGAUGUUCACGGAACACCAGGCACCAAAGGGCCAGAAGCGUCCGCCUGCAGGACCAGCACUUGGCCCUUGGCUAUCCUGCUGUUGGUGGCUGUGCAGAGAGGCACGCUGAGCCUCCCAAUGUUGUCUGCCAUCCUGUUAUUGCUUCAGCUGUGGGACAGUGGGGCACAGGAGACUGACAAUGAGCGUUCUGCCUAAGGCACCAGUGCCCCACUUUUGCCCUUGCUGCAAAGGUUCCAGAGCAUCAUUUGCAGGAAGGAUACACCCCACUCCGAGGGCGACAUGCACCUUUUGUCUGGUCCUCUGAGCCCCAGUGAGAGUUUCCUGAGGUACCUCACCCUUCCACAAGACAACGAGCUUGCCAUUGAUCUGCGACAAACGGCGGUUGUUGUCAUGGCCCAUUUAGACCGUCUGGCUACGCCCUGUAUGCCUCCGCUGUGUAGCUCUCCGACAUCUCAUAAGGGAUCAUUGCAAGAGGUCAAAGGUUGGGGGUUAAUAGGAUGGAAAUACUAUGCCAAUGUGAUUGGUCCAAUCCAGUGCAAAGGCCUGGCCAACCUGGGAGUCACACAGAUUGCCUGUGCAGAAAAGCGCUUGCUGAUUGUAACGCAAUGGCCGCGUGUAAACACAGGCCUACAAUAGUGACACACUGGUCCCACAGCUGGUCCAAGGCCUCGCCUCCAGAAACGUUGUAAAAAUUGCUGCCCAUUCUGAUGGUCACCAUUACCUAGCCUUGGCUGCCACUGGAGAGGUGUACUCCUGGGGCUGUGGGGAUGGCAGACGACUGGGCCACGGGGACACUGUGGAUGUAUCGCUCAUUCCUGUAGGGGACACACUCUCCUUUUAUGUUGCUAUAUCCUAAACAGGAUGGAGUGCAGAAGUGUGUCCAGGCCUCUGGAGGAGCCUAAGGUGAUCUCUGCCUUCUCUGGAAAGCAGGCCGGGAAGCACGUGGUGCACAUCGCUUGCGGGAGCACUUACAGUGCGGCCAUCACUGCCGAGGGGGAGCUGUACACCUGGGGCCGUGGGAACUACGGCCGGCUGGGCCACGGCUCCAGUGAGGACGAGGCCAUUCUGAUGCUGGUAGCUGGGCUUAAAGGACUGAAGGUCAUCAAUGUGGCACGUGGGAGUGGGGAUGCUCAAACCCUGGCUGCCACUGAGAAUGGACAAGUGUGGUCUUGGGGAGAUGGUGACUAUGGGAAAUUGGGCAGAGGUGGUAGUGAUGGCUGCAAAACCCCAAAGCUGAUUGAAAAGCUUCAAGACUUGGAUGUGGUCAAAGUCUGCUGUGGGAGUCAGUUUUCCAUUGCUUUGAUGAAAAGUGGCCAAGUUUAUUCAUGGGGAAAAGGUGACAACCAGAGACUUGGACACGGAACAGAGGAACAUAUUUGUUAUCCAAAACUCUUAGAAGGCUUGCAAGGGAAGAAGGUGAUUGAUGUGGCUGCAGGCUCCACCCACUGCCUGGCUCUGACUGAGGACAGCGAGGUCCACAGCUGGGGGAGCAACGACCAGUGCCAGCACUUUGACACCUUGCGCGUGACCAAGCCAGAACCUGCAGCAUUGCCAGGACUGGACACCAAACACAUAGUGGGAAUUGCCUGUGGGCCUGCCCGGAGCUUUGCUUGGUCAUCGUGUUCUGAGUGGUCCAUUGGCCUCCGUGUCCCUUUUGGGGUGGAUAUUUGCUCAGUGACUUUUGAGCAGCUGGAUCUCCUGCUUCGGCAAGUGAGUGAGGGGAUGGAUGGCUCCGCGGACUGGCCCCCGCCCCAGGAGAAAGAGCACGUGGCUGUGGCAGCGCUGAAUCUUCCCCGACUUCAGUUGCAUGCUGCCAUUAGUCACCAGGUUGACCUGGAAUUCCUUGGUUUAGGUCUGGGCAGCGUCUUCCUGAACAGCCUGAAGCAGACAGUGGUGACCCUGGCAAGCAGCGCAGACGUGCUGAGCAUGGUGCAGUCGGCCUCCCAGGCCAUGCUGCAGAGCGGCUGGUCCAUGCUGUUGCCCACCGCCGAGAAGCAGGCCCAGGCACUCUGCUCUCCUGCCCUGCGGAGUUUCAGGCAAUGAAGUGAACAUAAGUCCAGGUCAUCGAUUGGUGAUUGAUCUUCUGGUGGGCAGCUUGAUGGCUGCUGGAGGGUUGGAGUCAGCCUUAUACGCAGCCAUUACUGCAGAGAUCCAGGAUACAAAAAAAGAAGCAUGGAAGGAAAAAGAAAUUGAUGAACAGGAAGCGAAUGCCUCAACAUUUCAUAGAAGGAGGACUCCAUUGGAUAAAGACCUUAUUAAUACGGGGAUCUGUGAGUCUUCUGGCAAACAGUGUUUGCCUCUGGUUCAGCUCAUACAACAGCUUCUUAGGUAAAUCAUAUUAGCUGUAUUGUAUUGUGUUUUAUUUAUUUACUUUUUUUUUUUUUUGAGACAGAGUCUCGCUCUUGUUGCCCAGGCCGGAGUGCAGUGGUGCGAUCUUGACUCACUGCAACCUCCGUCUCCCAGGUUCAAGUAAUUCCUCUGCCUCAGCCUCUCGAGCAGCUGGGAUUACAGGCAUGCGCCACCAUGCUCCACUAAUUUUGUAGUUUUAUUAGAGACGGGGUUUCUUCAUGUUGGUCAGGCCAGUCUUGAACUCCCGACCUCAGGUGGUCCAUCCACUUUGGCCUCCCAAAAUGUUGGGAUUACAGGCAUUAGCCACCACUCCUGGCCUAUUUAUUUACUUAUUAAUGGUGUUUUUUUUUUUUUUUUUUUUUUUUUUUUUUUUUUUUUUGAGGUGGAGUCUUGCUCUAUCGUCCAGGCUGGAGUGCAGUGUCACGAUCUUGGCUCACUGCAACCCCCGCCUCCUGGGUUCAAGCUAUUAUCCUGCCUCAGCCUCCCGAGUAGCUGGGACGACAGGCGUCUGCAACCACACCUGGCUGAUUUUUGUAUUUUUAGUAGAGAUGAGGUUUUACCAUACUGGUCAGGCUGGUCUCAAAUUCCUGACGUCAGGUGACCCACCUGCCUUGGCCUCUCAAAAUGUUGGGAUUACAGGUGUUAGCCACUGUGCCUGGCCUGUAUUGUAUUUUAAUAGGUGAUUAUUGGUUUUCAUAUUAAGAUAGUGAAAUCUAGCACAAGGAUCUCAAAAAUUUGUUUGGUGAGUGAAGGAAUAUUCUGAAAAUUACCUAGUAUAGAUGUUAGGAUAAAGAGCAGACCCUUCUCAAUAUAGGUGAGAGGAGAAGUUGGAGGGUAUGAUGAUACUCAGAAGUUUUUCACAGAAGAGAAAUUGGGUGUGCAGUAAACAUGUAAAAAGAUUCUUACUAAUAAGCAGGUAGGUGCAAAUGAAAAUCAUCAUGGAAGGUUAUUUUUAAAACUGAUUGUAUCAUUGCCUCACCUUAUAUAUUACAGAGUUAUACAUACUACUUUGUAAGAUAACUUUUCUUUUCAAAACUGAAGUCAAUGUGAUAGAAUGGUGAGCAUUAUUUUGGAAGGCCAGACUAGGAGGAGGUGGGAGGAAGAAGUCAGACUCAGCCUGUGAACAGAGGCUAACCUUGGCAGAAGCCAAAACAGUCAGACAGUGUUGUCUAAAAAUGAUCAUUCAAGAAGAGUGAAACAGCAAAGUGAUUUGUGAAAGAGAUUUAUUAGAAAAUGAAACACAUUUACACCUCUGUUCAAUAAAAAUCUGCUUUUUGUCAA